GUCAAUAAUGCAAGCUACCAUUUUCUGGCAUGGCCAUGAGAAGAGAGCAAGUUGUAGCCUUGUAGACAAGGCACCUGAACUCCAUGCUCGUUAGCUCAUGCACGAGAGCUUGCAAGAUUGCUGGGUGCAUUUGCGUACACGUGUUGUUUGUAGUGUGAUAGCAUCAACAUCAUAUUUCCGGUUGAGUAGUGCUUGCUGCUGGAGAUGAUCUUGUGUUAAAAAAAAUCACAUUCAGCAAUUCCCC
rnacentral:lncRNA from 1 species